GCCGGGGGCGUGGCCUGCCCGCUCCGGGCCGGGGGCGCCGCUCUCCCCCGCGCUGGCUGGAGCCGCUCUUUGGCUCGUCUAAAUUUGCUUUUUUUUUUUUUUUAGGUGUCAGUUCUGUGAACGGAGCCACGCACAGUCCAGAGGUUCACAGACGCCUUCAUUCCGUGGGGAAGAUUCUGAAGAUAUUUAAUAUUAACUACAAAGCAUUUCAGAGAUUCUUCAGUGAGAAGGCCUCUCUGUGUUAUUCAUUGCUUUAUUCCUGGCAACAGGCAUAUAUAUACUGGGCUUCAGUAAACAUCUGUUUUAGUUUAUACGGAUUCUUGUCCUCAAUCAUAACGGGACAAAGGUACCGAAAGACAAGACUUCAAGCAAGGGAAAACAAAAUAAGCUACUAAGCAGCAAUAGGAAAUUAAUACUGGUGCUGCCCUAUCUCUGGGUGAUGAGUGAUGGAAUGACAGCAGUUCCAAGGACAACAGAAUGAAUAAUAGGACGUUAGAACACACAGACACCAGAGAUACACAGAGUGACAAUGAGAAGCAGCCAGAUGGUGGCCAGCUGCAAACCAAUGAGAGAGGCCUCAGAGGAAAUCAGCUCUGUCACCAUGUUGAUUUUCUACUUUGUCUCCAGAACUGUGAGAAAAUAAUUUUCUGUUUUUUAAGUCACACAAUUUGUGGUAUUUUGUUAUGGAACCUCAGAAACUAAUAGUCUUGCUAAUUUACUUUUUUUUUAUGUUUUUAAAAAUUUAAAUUCACUUUGCCAACAUAGAACACCCAGUGCUCAUGCUAAUUUGCUACUUUUAUUAGACCUUUCAAAAACCAGCUUUUGCUUUGAUUUUUCUCUAUUUUUUAUUUCAGUGACUUCCAUCCUUUACAAUUUACUGAUUUAAUUAUGGGCCAGCAUUUGGUCUAUGUAGAGACUAAUCCAUAUUCAUUU